rnacentral:lncRNA from 1 species
GUGAAUGAGCUGUGAUGCACAGAAAGACAAAUACUGAGAACAAUUAUUAGCUUUCCACCAUGAACCAGCAAACCUGCUGGCACAUGACAAGGAUGCUUGGCAUUUAUGGAAGGAGGGGAAUAUUGGAGCUGCGUCAUCGUCACUGUCCUCCGUGGCUAAUUUCUCAUUGUUAAAGUAUGUGAUCCGGCCACAUCGAUGAUCACUUGGGCAUAAGCUUCAUUACAGAUCAUAAAUUGCAGUUUGACCGAUCUCUGGUGUCGAUAAGGUGACCAGAUUUGGUGGGGAUCUAAGUAUCUGAAUCAACCAUGCACAUUAUACAUAACAGGGACAGCAGAAGUUCUUUAUGCUUUCACACUCUGCCACUUUUUUAAUGAACAAAGCAGAGUUUGGAGCAGAAUAUUUAAAUCGACUCAAAAAAAUAGAAUUAGCACUAGUUCUAUUUGAACUGAUUCAUCAGUAAUGUAAUUUUAAAUUAAUGUAUAUCCUCAUCGUCACAAAAAACACACAUAAAAUCGUUAUCCCUUUAGGAUUUUUGUAAUCAAGAAAAUAGAAAACCAUUAGCCCAAUGGGACGGGUUGACUAUUCAUUAAGGUGAGGGGCAGCAUAUGAUUAUGUGAUAUUCAUAAAGGAAAGAAAAGCAUAUGAUACCUCUCUCUCUCUCNNNNNNNNNNNNNNNNNNNNUACUACCUCUCUCUCUCUCUCUCUCUCUCUCUCUCUCUCUCUCAAAUCAAACAAAGCAAAUGCCAUAAAGUGGGGAAGAAAAGGUUCCAUUUGGUGCUAUGUGAAUACUUCGUUCAUCAGAGAGAAGAGACGAGUCACGGUACCAAAGCAGAGGAUAACAAUGGAUCCUUCUCACCAAACCCUGGCAAUAGUUGACGAUCGGUCGAAUGGUGAUUUAAAAUAGUGCAGUAAAUAUAUCGAAUGCCAUCAACUCAGAUAUGGGAACCAGCGAUGUGAGUAUCUUAUAGUUCUCAGCAGUUACCUUGGGAGACGCAAUCUGCGGCGAACGAGGGAGAUCACCGGGCUUUGAACCAAGACGGCCGCGUUCUCGGUGGCGAAUGGGCGAUAGAACAGGGAGAAGGACGGGAGAGAGAGAUGGCACCGGACGCUGUUGCUGGCCAUGGCAGAUGAAGAGAGAGAGAGAGAGAGAGAGAGAGAGAGAGAGGGG